UACGAAGGGGGCUAGCGUUGCUCGGAAUCACUGGGCGUAAAGGGUGCGUAGGCGGGUUUUUAAGUCAGGGGUGAAAUCCUGGAGCUCAACUCCAGAACUGCCUUUGAUACUGAAGAUCUCGAGUUCGGGAGAGGUGAGUGGAACUGCGAGUGUAGAGGUGAAAUUCGUAGAUAUUCGCAAGAACACCAGUGGCGAAGGCGGCUCACUGGCCCGGUACUGACGCUGAGGUGCGAAAGCGUGGGGAGCAAACAGG
rnacentral:rRNA from 1 species